rnacentral:rRNA from 1 species
UACAGAGGUCCCAAGCGUUGUUCGGAUUUACUGGGCGUAAAGGGUGCGUAGGUGGCUAGGUAAGUCUGACGUGAAAUCCCACAGCUUAACUGUGGAACUGCGUCGGAUACUAUCAAGCUAGAGGUAUGGAGGGGAGAUUGGAAUGCUCGGUGUAGCAGUGAAAUGCGUAGAUAUCGAGCGGAACACCAGUGGCGAAAGCGGCGCACUGGACCACAACUGACGCUGAGGCGCGAAAGCUAGGGGAGCAAACGGG